rnacentral:lncRNA from 10 species
GUUUGAACCCAGGAGGCAGAGGUUGCAAUGAGCCAAGAUCACACCACUGCACUCCAGCCUGGGUGACAGAGUGAGACUCCGUCAAACAACAACAACAAAAAACAAACAAACAAACAAACAAAAACUACAAAUGUAGGCAAGUAACCAGCAUAAUUGUCCCCAUUUCACACAUAAGGAGAAAUGUGGCUCAGAGAAUCUGUGUGAUUUCCCCAAAGUCACGUUAAGUAGAGGCUCAGGGUCAAAACCACCCCCAGUCCAGUGAUUUGUCCACUCCUCUCUACUCAGAGGUUUCACACACCAUCAAGUAAAGGCUUCUGUUUAAAAAAAAAGAAAAGAAAAGUACAACAUUCUAAAGGAAACUCUAGUUGUUCCUAAAAAUUGCCAGGCAAUAAUGCUAUGACUAUUUAACUUAUUGUUAUUAUUAAUAAAGUGCAUCUAGAUUAUCCUACCUAAAUUUUGGCCUUUACUCUCCAUGGAAGGUGUUUAACUAGAGAUAAAAUAUAAUGUAUUUUGAAGUGCAUGGUAUUUCGCUGAGGAGAGACUUGGGUUCAAAUACCAGCUUUGCUAUUUACUAGCUUUAUGACUAAGGCCAAGUUACUCAGUCCCUUUGAAUCUGAGUUUUCUUAUCUUUAAUAUAGAAAUUAUAAUAAAUUCAUCACAGAAAUAUGGCAAGGAGUAAACAAAACUGCAUGUGAAAAGUGUUUAACAGGGUGUACUUGAUGCAUAGUAGUGCUCAAAGAAUGUCAAAAUCUAGGGAGACAAACUCUUUAACAUCUUGUCUGCUAACAGUGAUCAAGCUACCCACAAGUUCUUUCAUAGAGAGAUUUCAUUCAGGCUGUAGCCCCACUAGGGUACUACUCUUCGCAUAAUACCUUACACUUUGUGAAGAAGGUACACACACUGUCACAAUUAAGGAAUCAAAUCACUGUCUUCAGGUUUCAACCAUUUGCCAGAAAUCACGUUAGCUUUUGAAUCCACUAGCAAAAGAUAAAGGAUUCCCUUCUUUUCCUUAUUAACAGAAUUCAAAUAAAACAUGUCCUAAGCAUCUGAAAUAAGCCCCAAUAUUGGGAGAGCACUAGAUGUCAGUUACAAUUUCUUGAGUAGCUGCUAAGUUCCAGUCUCACUGUAAGGCACUUCCACCCAUUAAAAGACAUUAGCACAUUUGAGCCUUGCAAACAACUUAACAGGUAAGCUGUGGAAAUAUAAUAUUCUCUUCAUUUUACAAGUGAGGGAACUGAGACUCAGAGUUGCCCAUCAUUGCUUAGCUCCCGAAAGCAGCAGAACAAGAUUCUGACUCCAAUGCUCUUCCCGCCUCCUUUAGGGCAAGGGCUCACUGCCUACGACUCCCAAGUCACCAUCAAGUUGACAUCCAACAGAAAGUGCCCCAAGAGUGUGCACGGGUGGCUGUGAGUGGGAGGUGCCUGACUCACCACCACUGACUCACCAUCAGGAGGGAUCUGCUGCACUGGUCCUUUGCACUCUUAUUCUCACCUUUUGAAAUAGGAUGGCAUCUUACUUGGUUUAGAUUUAAGUCAGUAUCUACUUACCAAGUAGCCUGAUUCAUUUCAGAAUUUCAGAUUUGUACUAUGUUUCCCAGAAAGCCAUUUGAAACUGUAGCUUUUCUUUGUGUGAGUUUUAUUGUUCUACAAAAGGAAAAUCUGCUUUUUCAUGAUUGCUCACUAUUUAUGAAGUCAACACUAUUUGGCAGUCACUGUGCUAAGUUCCAGGUACAGAGCAACUGACUAGACUGAUUCCAUCCCUGCCCUCGUGGAGCUGAUAGUCAGCUGGACAUAACAGACCUAAACACUAAAUUAUAAAAGUGAUUACACAGUAAAAACUCUGAUGACUGCCACAAAGGGGAAGUCCAGACUGCAAUAAGAGGUUAUAUUAGGGGACAUACCACAGUCUUGGGGUCAGGGAGGGCUUCCCUGAGAAAGUGCUAUUUAAGGAGAAAGCAGAAGGAUGAGCACAAAUUAGCCAAUCUAAUGGAGGGGUAAUGAUACUCCCAGCAAAGGAAACAGCACUUGCAAAAUCCCUGGGGCAGGAAGAAGAGUAACACAUUUAAGGAACUGAGAGGUUAGUGUGGCUAAAGAGCAGAGACCCAAAGUGGAAACGAUGUAAGAAUGGAGGAACAGGAGUAUAGCAAUGCUUUCCAAAGCACUAACUGGCGAUGGCAUCAGCCAUUGUGAAUGCAUACAGUCAGCCCAAUGCAAAUGCCAGUUAAUCUCUCUUGACAUUUAUGGAAAUUAGACCUGAACCAAUGAAAAGUUCGAUAGCUAAUUUUUCUUUCUUCUUCUCUUCCUCUUCCACCUUCUAUUUUUUUCUUGAUGAUUAUAUUACUUUCUAAGUAUGAGAGGGGAAGUAGACAGAAAGAAUCUCUGAAGAAACUGUUUACAUUACACAUCUCAUGCACUGUGUGUAGGGAAACAUGGUGUAACUUUAAGCAAACUAACAAGCUUCAGGGUUUUUUGUUCUUCUGCAAAACAGUGCUGAAAAACUGCAGAACACAUUUAAGAUUAAGUGAGGCAAUGUAUACAAUCUGCUACGCACAGUGACUCACUCUAAUAGUUAAAGCAGCACCCUCUUUCCAGGUGAGACAGGAAACUGAAGAGGUGUAUUAGUUAGGCUAGGCUAACUGCUGUAACAAACAAAUCUAUGCAUAGUGGUUCAAACACAAUAGAAGUUGAUUCCCUGCUCGUGUAAUGUCUAAACUGGCUGUUCCGGAGGUGGCCAGCUCUCAUCCACAAAGCAAUCCAGGAACCAGUCUCCUUCUCUCUUAGUGCUGCACCCUGUUACUCCACAUCAGGCUGGAGGAAAGGUAAAACAUGGAGGAGUGUGUAUGAACGAGGCCUAAAAGUGAAAAUAUUACUUCUCUUGUAGAUCUCCAUUACACAAUCUCACCUAACUACCAGGAAAUAAAGUCCAGUGGAGUGGAAAAAGAAGGAGCGAGUGUAAGUGGUUAGCCAGCAGUCUUGGCCACCACGCAUAAAGAUUUAUCUUGUACUGCUCAAAUAUUUCCUCCUUUACCAAGCCACAGAAAGCAUUGAGCCCUAAAGAAGAAAUGAUGUUGGAAAAGCUCUUUGACCUCUCUGCAAGAAGCAUGUCUUCCACGAAACAGCAGUUGUGUGAAAUGCACUAUAAGAAAAGAGUCCCUGUGGUCAAAUGUGUGUAAUAUGCUGUAUACUGCACCCACUUCUUGGAGAGUCAGUACAUUGGUUAGUAUGUGAAAGCCUCUGAGAAGUCCUGCGGCAGUACAAGACUUGGAAAUUAAUUUUGACCCAGCGGUGUCCAAAUAUAUUUGAGCAUGGAUAGACAAGAGUGAAAGCAGAGACACCAUAUUCCAACAAUACAGACAAGAGACAAGAAGUGUUUGGGCAAAGGAGGAUGGCAGCAGAGGUGGUAAGAAGCAACUGGAUUCUGAACAUAUUUCAAAUGCAGAGCCAAUCAGAUUUGCUGGUGGAUAGGAUACAGAGUGUAAGAAAAUGAAUGAAGUCAAGGAUGAUGCUGAGAUUUUUAGGCCUGAUCAACACAUGAACAGAAUUUUCACUUCCUUCAGGAAGCUCUCCCUAGCCUAAUAGCCCCACCCUUACCAUCACAACCUCUUACCACAUCAAAUCUCUUGCCUUCAGAGAUUGCACAGUUUUAGUUAUAUCUUUGUUGAUGACAUUUUUGACAAUGGCUGAGUUUAUCAUUUUUGCUUGCUAUUGUAUCUCCAGUGCCUAGCACAUUGUAGGCACGCAAUAAAUAUUUGUUGAAUGAAUGAAUGGACAGAGACUAGCAUGUGGUAGUUGUUUAAACUGUAGCUACCAUAUUAUUAAUCUAUCUAAUAUCCAGGUGAUAUUAAUAUUAAUAUGACUAAUCAAUUUAAUAUGCAGUGCGGGGCUGGAGAAAGGUGGAAGAGGAGUGACUGCUAACAGAAAACAAACAAAAAAAAGAUGGUCAGAAACCCCAGCUCUAAUUUGAGUUAUGCCCAUAUGUUUCUGAGUCUGCCUUGGGCAAGUCUCUUCACCUUUUGAGACCCAUUCUUCUAAUACCGUUCAAAAAUAGAUAAGACAAUAUGAUUUUCAUCAGCCCUGCACCUUGCUGUCCAUGGGUCUAAGUGAAAGCAAUAGCUUGUAUCUUCAGUAAUGUCAUGCAGCACUCUUCAAUGCAGAACCUGUCUGAUUUAAUGUUCCAUUCUCUAGCACAAUUUAAGUCCUUUGGGUACCUGGAAAAGGGUAAUGCAAUUGUUGCUGAAGUCACCCAGAAGACUUCCUGGAGAUUUUCUUUCUUCCUCCUUCCAAGACCUUUAAGUAGCAGAUGAAUAUACUGGUGUGUGGUAGAGGGAGAAAAAAAAAAAAAACUUUUACAGUUUGUACUACUCUAGUUCAACUGACAAGAUUGCAAUAGGAACUUGCCCCUUUCCUACCACCUAAAGGACUACUGGGCAAAAGUCACUCACCACUCUAGACCUCACCAUUCGUUUGAAUUUUGGUUUGUCCCUCUGAAAGAGUCCUUUUUCCUUCCAGAUGGGAAUGCACACAAAUACGUUUCCCAUCUGGACCUUUUUUGAACCAUUCGCCCUAAAAACCAAUCUUGGGUUCUUGAAUCUGGCCAGCUUGCGCGGACGGUAACCUCACCACAAUGCAUACACAGGUCCACAAGGUUUCAUUAGCUCUCUCAAUGAGAGCUCUUUUGGGUAAAGCUACCCAGAAAGUGAUUUUUAGUUUCAUUUCAUUUAUUUUUGUUUUCCACCUGGCUGCCCAGGGCAAACAUCUACCCCAAGAGCUUCUCCCUCUGGGGACCAUCCUCUCUAUCAUUGGUUGCCUUGGUACAAACGUUGCACAUGUCUCCUAAUGCUGAGGCUCUGCUAGACUCUUUCUUUCCCCAGAAGAGGUCACUACCUGAUUAGAAAAACAGUAGCUUUCAUUCAGCCCCCAGCCCCUCACUGCCACUCAACGCACAAUUCUCCAUGGCUAAUAGCUAAACCCAAAAGUCACUCCAUCUUUCCUAAUGUUGUUACCAUUCAUUUUAUGAUCAUUGGUCUGUGAAAAAUAUUCAGGGCAUCAUCUGCUUAUUACUUCCAGUCUUGUUUUUGAAAUAUUCCACCAUGACAAUUUUUUAAUUUUCCCCUCAAAAUGGCCCUCUGCUGCUACUUAGCCUAGUUUAUAGGUGAGAAGACUGAAGGACAAAGAGAUGAAUUGGCUUACACAACGACUAUCGACAGCAAAGGUUACACGAGAAUUUGUGUCUCCUGAUAACAUGUUCAGAUGUUGAAAAGAGAAGGUGCCAGAAUUUUAUUGGUUGGGCCAUUCUUCUAAAGGAGGAGGGGAAAACCGGAACACGGAAACAAUUCAAGUUGAGAAAUGUCAUCCUGUGAAAAUAGACAGGAGGUGACUGGAAAGCCAAUGGCUUAGCUAGAGGGCAGCUCAACAUUCUUUCUGGCUCCAGGAUUCCAGGAUUCCUUAAAAACCAGGAUUCCCUGGAAACUAUGAUACAAAAACGAUGACAGCAGAAGACUUCACCAAGCCUUACGGUCAGUCAUGGGGACAAGAUCAAAGGGUGGGCCAGUGCACCAUGGAUCCUCUGUCAUUGAAUGAAGCACCAGGGACAUGUAGUAUAUCACUCUGAGCUCUUGGUUUCAAGAACAUAGGGAGAAAAAUUGGGGAAGAAGGGUUAGUGAUUUACUGGAAGUUUAUCAGAGGUUCUCAGCAACAGGAAACUUAGAAGAACAAGAACUGUAGCAGUCUGGGUGAUUAAAGAGGAGGAAGCUCAACAAUGAUCUUGUAGGAAGAAGGAAGAAUGUAGCCGAAUACCACCACUGCAGCUGCCUGAGCUGUGAAUAAAUUUUACAAGGCUAACCAGGACUUAUUCACAUGGCUGUAUCAGCGUUCCCCGAGUUCGAGAAUGGAGACUGCAUGCUUGAAAAAUGGGCUCAAGUGACACAACCUCACUUCAACCAUAUUCUAAUGGCCAAAGCCAGUCAUGAGGCCAAACCAGAAUAAAUGACAGACUGAACCUCAUAUAGGAGAAGCUGGAAAGUGCAGUGAUCAUCUCUGCAAUUCCACAACAGAAGUAUUCCAUACUGUAUGUUCAUGAAUGCAUUGAAUGUAAUCAGCUUGCCUUGGGUUUUGGCCCAUGCCAUACUGUUAACUCACAGAGAAGUCAAUGAAAAACCUUAGACUUUUUUUUUUUUUGAGACAGAAUCUUGCUCUGUUGCCAGGCUGGAGUGCAGUGGCAUGGUCUCAGCUCACUGCAGUCUCCACCUCCCGGAUUCAAAUGAUUCCCCUGCCUCAGCCUCCUGAAUAGCUGGGAGUACAGGUGUGCACCACCACACCCGGCUAAUUUUUUGUAUUUUAGUAGAGUCGGGAUUUCACCGUGUUGGCCAGGAUGAUCUCGAUCUCCUGACCUCGUGAUCCGCCUGCAUCAGCCUCCCCAAAUCCUGGGAUUACAGGUGUGAGCUACCGCACCCAGACACAACCUUAAGACUUUUAAUGAUGAACUAUUGUCAACUAAAUUCAUAUUACACUUGUAUUUAUGCAGCUGAUUAGAACCAAAUUGCAACCCUUCGUAUUCAAUUUCAUCUCCAUUGCUUCAGCCAGCUUUGAUCCCUUCAUAUCUCCUCUUGUAGCAAUCUUUUGAUUCCUGUUUAAAUCAAUUGCCAUAUUCCGAAUAACUUCUUCAUGUAUUUUCUUAUCAUAGUUGAUGUAAGAAAUAAAUUGAUAUCGUAUUGGUUCUAUCAACAAUUUAAGGACAGGGAUAACCACAUUUUUUAGACUUCCUGCAUAUCCUAUGGCAGCCAUCACUGUUCUGAGCACAUAGCUGGUCCUCGGUUACCUCACGAAGUUACAUAAGAAUGAAUCAAUACCCAAAACAACACAAUUCCAAUGGGGUAAAUCAGUGGUUCUUGAAUUAUUUUUUUUUUUUCAGUAAAGUUCUUCUUUUUAAGAUAAAAUAUUUUAUGAAAGUCCAACAUGAAAGGCAGAUAAACAUAAGAAGACAUUUCUGAAAUUCUUUCUACUUAACUUUUUCCAUCCUUAUCUCCCAUAAGAUAUCUGAGGCCUCCUCAGAUGCCAUGGAAUAAAAUUUGAAAAACACUGGAUGAAAUCAACAUUUUUCAAACUUUUCAAACUUAACCCUCAGUAAGAAAUGCAUUUUACAUAGUGACCCAGGAGACACUGACAUAUAGAUAACUGAAACUACUGCUCUCAAGACUACUUCACCCUAAGUACAACAAAAUCUCAUGUUUUCUAUUCUACUCACUUCAUUUUUUGAAGGUCAGCCAUGAACUACUAAAUUGAUUUUAUAAGCCACUAAACAAGCAAUGCCCCAUAGUUGGAAACUAUUAGACUAGAUGAUCUCUUGAAGAAGUCUUUCAAGUUUUAAACUCUAUUGGCCUAUGGUUCUACAGCUUCUGUAUCCUCAAUUUCUAUUGUUUAUUCCCAGGGCAGAGAAGGAGGUGAUGGUCACUUCCAAAAAGAGCGGAAGUUAAGUUCUAGAUAAGCCACAAUCACGCUCCCCAAGUGCAUGAAGACCACAUAAUCUCGUGAGCGUGAAUAAAAU